rnacentral:misc_RNA from 1 species
AAGUCGUAACAAGGUUUCCGUAGGUGAACCUGCGGAAGGAUCAUUAGUGAAUUUUAGGGCGUCUACUUGUAGAGCCUGACCCUCCACUUCUAACACUGUGCAUUAUUCGGUCAUUUGGCGACGUACCUUCGGGUAUCGAGCUGUUUGGCUAAUUUUACCAUUAAACAUUAGUACCAGUAUGUAACGAAAUAUCGAAACAAAAAAAU